rnacentral:ribozyme from 1 species
AACAAAGAAAAGAAAAUGUGCUGAGCGCUGAUUUGAUGAGGGUCUUUUUUUUAUUUUCCUUUUUUUUCUUAAA